CCUACGGGGGGCAGCAGUGGGGAAUAUUGGGCAAUGGGCGCAAGCCUGACCCAGCAACGCCGCGUGAAGGAAGAAGGCUCUCGGGUUGUAAACUUCCUUUAAGAGGGAAGAGCAGAAGACGGUACCUCUUGAAUAAGCCACGGCUAACUACGUGCCAGCAGCCGCGGUAAUACGUAGGUGGCAAGCGUUGUCCGGAUUUACUGGGUGUAAAGGGCGUGUAGCCGGGCUGACAAGUCAGGUGUGAAAUUCCGGGGGUCAACCCCGGACCUGCAGUUGAAACUGUUGGUCUUGAGUAUCGGAGAGGCAGGCGGAAUUCCUGGGGUAGCGGUGAAAUGCGUAGAUAUUAGGAGGAACACCAGUGGCGAAGGCGGCCUGCUGGACGACAACUGACGGUGAGGCGCGAAAGCGUGGGGAGCAAACAGGAUUAGAUACCCGAGUAGUC
rnacentral:rRNA from 1 species